rnacentral:lncRNA from 1 species
GGGCUUGAAGAGUGGCCCUGGAGUCAGAGAGCACCUUCCUCUGGCCUGGUCCUGCCGGACACUCACCCCUGGCGGAAAUGGAAUGGAUCCUUGUGGUCUUGGCAGCUGUCGAGGAUGCCCUGAUGUCUGUUCUCACAUCACAUUGCGCUCCAAGUACCCCGGCUGCAACCAGAGCUCAGCAAACCGGGACCAGAGGGCACAUCCACCCUGCCUGCCCAUGUCAACAGAGUUGUGUGGGAGCCAGCCGGCCCCCAGGAAGACCCCAGAUCUUCCUGCCCCUGACCACAGCUCUGUCCCUGGAAGCAUAUGCUGCAGACACUUGCUCUGCUGCAGAUUUUCUGCACAACCCCUCCUCAUGGGGGAAGGUUUGGUACCUGAAUGAGGCCUCUUUUGACCUCUAUUCCUAUCACUAUUUUUGGUGACCUCAAUAUUUAUGAAGGUAAUAACUUGGUCUUUAAUCCAGACAAUUUUCACCUCCAGGAA